GUCUUUUAAAACCAAUGUGCACAGGUUCAAGACCGUGAAACGACACAAAUAUAUCUGAGGGACAACACUUUGCAGAUAAUUUCAGAACAAGACAGGAGCAAAUACUGCAAAGAGAGAAUGAACAGAUGAUUAGAAUGUUGCAGUGCAAAUCGUGUAACGCUUCUCGAGCGACGCGA